AUUGAACGCUGGCGGCAUGCUUUACACAUGCAAGUCGAACGGUAACAGGCCGCAAGGUGCUGACGAGUGGCGAACGGGUGAGUAAUGCAUCGGAACGUGCCCAGUCGUGGGGGAUAACGCAGCGAAAGCUGCGCUAAUACCGCAUACGAUCUAUGGAUGAAAGCGGGGGACCGUAAGGCCUCGCGCGAUUGGGGCGGCCGAUGUCAGAUUAGGUAGUUGGUGGGGUAAAGGCUCACCAAGCCAACGAUCUGUAGCUGGUCUGAGAGGACGACCAGCCACACUGGGACUGAGACACGGGCCAGACUCCUACGGGAGGCAGCAGUGGGGAAUUUUGGACAAUGGGCGCAAGCCUGAUCCAGCAAUGCCGCGUGCAGGAAGAAGGCCUUCGGGUUGUAAACUGCUUUUGUACGGAACGAAACGGUCCUGGUUAAUACCUGGGGCUAAUGACGGUACCGUAAGAAUAAGCACCGGCUAACUACGUGCCAGCAGCCGCAGUAACAC
rnacentral:rRNA from 1 species